UACGUAGGUGGCAAGCGUUGUCCGGAUUUAUUGGGCUUAAAGGGUGCGUAGGCGGCUUUGUAAGUCAGUGGUGAAAUAUGGCAGCUCAACUGUCAGGGUGCCAUUGAUACUGCAGAGCUUGAGUACAGAUGAGGUAGGCGGAAUUGACGGUGUAGCGGUGAAAUGCUUAGAUAUCGUCAAGAACACCGAUAGCGAAGGCAGCUUACUGGGCUGUAACUGACGCUGAGGCACGAAAGUGAGGGGAUCAAACAGG
rnacentral:rRNA from 1 species